rnacentral:rRNA from 1 species
CCUACGGGAGGCAGCAGUGAGGAAUAUUGGUCAAUGGACGAGAGUCUGAACCAGCCAAGUAGCGUGAAGGAUGACUGCCCUAUGGGUUGUAAACUUCUUUUAUAUGGGAAUAAAAUGUUCCACGUGUGGGAUUUUGUAUGUACCAUAUGAAUAAGGAUCGGCUAACUCCGUGCCAGCAGCCGCGGUAAUACGGAGGAGCCGAGCGUUAUCCGGAUUUAUUGGGUUUAAAGGGAGCGUCGGUGGAUUGUUAAGUCAGUUGUGAAAGUUUGCGGCUCAACCGUAAAAUUGCAGUUGAAACUGGCAGUCUUGAGUACAGUAGAGGUGGGCGGAAUUCGUGGUGUAGCGGUGAAAUGCUUAGAUAUCACGAAGAACUCCGAUUGCGAAGGCAGUUCACUGGACUGCAACUGACACUGAGGCUCGAAAGUGUGGGUAUCAAACAGGAUUAGAUACCCGUGUAGUC